UACGCAUCCUUUGAAGGCAUCCUCUGAGUACAAGCUGGCUAUACCUUUGAUCCCAAUCGAAGAAUGGGUGGCUGCCAGGCUGAUUCAUCUGUGACCUGAAGGAAUCCCCGCCCUUGGCCUCCUAGCAAUACACCUGAGCUGUCUCUUGUUCUUGCCAGAUCUGUCAUAUCUUUAUUGGCUUUCCUAAUGACUUCUGUUGUUGGAAGUCAUUCAUUGCACUUGCUGCCUGAAACCUGAUGAGCCUCUGAGGCAGGGAAGGAAGACCUCUGGGCCCCAAAAAGAGUCUGGAAACGCCCUGACAGACAUGUCCAGAGGUUUGUCUUCUCAACGACUCCACAUCCUGCAAUGUUAACGGUGUUAAACCAUCUCACAUUUGAACCAAGAGAAGGAGUGAGUGAGUGAUUGGUCUCCGUGACAGGAAGCAGUGAAGCCAGUGCUGUGUGCAUUCCUAUGAUGAGACGGGGCAAGAAGCUUACCUGGAAACUCAAGGCCUAGCUACAAUGGAGCGUGGAACAGACCUGCACACAAAAGAGACCUUGUAUCGGCAAGAUGGAAGGUGUCAAAUGUGUGCAUCUCACGAACAUUCAGAUUGGCCUAAGGUGGCUCACAUCGUCUUAUUGCUGGGCUCUAAUUCCUUCCCUGACAACUUGUCACGUUAA